GCUUGCACAGGUGCUGCAUGGCUGUCGUCAGCUCGUGUCGUGAGAUGUUCGGUUAAGUCCGCUAACGAGCGCAACCCUCGCUGUGUGUUAUAUGUGUCACACGGGACUGCCGGUCUUAAGCCGGAGGAAGGUGGGGAUGAUGUCAAGUCAGCAUGGCCUUUAUAUCCUGGGCUACACACACGCUACAAUGGCCAACACAAUAGGUUGCUAAGCCGCGAGGUGGCGCCAAUCCAUAAAGUUGGUCUCAGUUCAGAUUGUAGGCUGCAACCCGCCUGCAUGAAGAUGGAGUUGCUAGUAACCGCAGGCCAGCUAUACUGCGGUGAAUACGUUCCCGGGGCUU
rnacentral:rRNA from 1 species